rnacentral:tRNA from 1 species
GCCUUCGUGGUGCAGUGGUCAGCACACUCGGCUUGCUUUUAUUCGAGAGGUCCGUGGUUCGAGUCCAGGGGAGUGCA